GCCAAGGCUACUGUGGGCGGAAGCAGGGGGAGAUUGACACCGCCCCACCCCCUCCCUUCCAGUCAGCAAAGUGGUGGCUACGUCACGCACGGAAGGACUCAGCACAGAAGGCAGACGUGGGAGCUGGAAAAUGGCCGCCUGGCCUGGGUGCUCAGCUGCCCCAGGGAGACACCAAUGGAGCAAAGGCCAAGCCCCACUAUAGCAGCAGUGAUUUCAACCAGCCCCCACAUGGAUGAGACCCUGCAGAGCUCAGUCCCUCCUUGCAGAAGACAUUGUCAUAGGGGACCUAAUGAUCUUGAACAGCUGGGAGUAAUUGGAAACACCACCACACUGGCCAGACCAACAGCGUCUUCUGCCUGGAGAACCUACAAACAGGAUCAACAGCACCUAAUGAUGUAACCGUCAACUGUGGCAUGAUCAGGCUCACGUGAAACAGCACAAAAAUAUUAGGUCUGCUUAUGAGAAGUGCUCAUUACAAGAUUCUACACAGGAUGGAAACACUGGCCACCUGUGUUAAAGGGAUGGAAGGCAAUGGUGGAUGAGGCUGAAAGAGAUGUCUUGAUUCUAUGAUUCUAUGAUUUGCAGAAUACCAAGGCCUUUUACCAAGUUCCAUCACUAAAGUGUCACUGCAAAUUAUAUAGCUCAUGCUGUUGAAUUAGGGAAAGGCCCAAACUGCAGACACAUGUGGGAUCCCAAGCUUGCACAUCCUUAAGCUUCACAAAUGCCUACAUACAGGGCUUUGAUCAGAACUUCUCCUUAGUGAAACCUUGUCUCCAGAGUCAACAGUCUAGCUUCCCAGGAUCUUUCAGGGGCACCAGAGUUCACCUAAACCAGUCCCUUUAGAGAGCUAAAGCUCAGGAUCUGAUGGGGAAGGGCAAAAGCAGAGUUUUUCUGUGGAGCCAGAUACAACAUAAAGCAAGGAAUUCUGGCGCACUGGUUGGGGUGGGUAGAGGUUUCCUACUGCACAGUAGAAAAGGCAGAGCUGAGGAUCUGCGUGGCUCUGGGACUCCCAAUAUCCUGGCUCUGUGCUCCACAAAUGCCCUGCCAGAGCUGGUGGGAAGGCCAGAGGUUAGGCCAGCCUGGGAUUUCGAGAGACCUGAUACCAAGGCACAUCAUGGUCAGGUGAUAUGAAGCCAGAGGGCACUGUGGAAAUAGUUGAUCCAUUUGCACUCCUGGGUCUCAAAGAACUGAAACAACACAGACAAAACAGCCUAAGAUCUGUGAGAAGAGAGCAAAUCUCCUCUAUUCUGAUCUCUUCUCAUCCCACUACAAAGAUCUCUGUCCACAGCAAGGAGCAGGUGAUGUUGGUCUUCUGCAGGAAACACCGUAACCAUGAGUCAUAGAAUCAUAGAACCAACUAGGUUGCAAAACACCUCAUCCAGAGAAGAAGUCAUCCCUUUGCACACCCACAUACUUCAAAUAUGAGCAUUAAGUUCUGGAAGGUCUGCAGGGCCAAUGUGGAAGGGGUCACACAGCACACCACUACCUCUGGGGAGAUGAAGCCAGCUUCCUAAGGGUACUGCAUGU